GAUGAACGCUGGCGGCGUGCUUAACACAUGCCAGUCGAACGAUGAAGCUCAGCUUGCUGGGUGGAUUAGUGGCGAACGGGUGAGUAACACGUGAGUAACCUGCCCUUAACUCUGGGAUAAGCCUGGGAAACUAGGUCUAAUACCGGAUAGGAGCGUCCACCGCAUGGUGGGUGUUGGAAAGAUUUAUCGGUUUUGGAUGGACUCGCGGCCUAUCAGCUUGUUGGUGAGGUAAUGGCUCACCAAGGCGACGACGGGUAGCCGGCCUGAGAGGGUGACCGGCCACACUGGGACUGAGACACGGCCCAGACUCCUACGGGAGGCAGCAGUGGGGAAUAUUGCACAAUGGGCGAAAGCCUGAUGCAGCGACGCCGCGUGAGGGAUGACGGCCUUCGGGUUGUAAACCUCUUUCAGUAGGGAAGAAGCGAAAGUGACGGUACCUGCAGAAGAAGCACCGGCUAACUACGUG
rnacentral:rRNA from 1 species